rnacentral:rRNA from 1 species
GACGAACGCUGGCGGCGUGCCUAAUACAUGCAAGUUGAGCGCUGAAGCUUGGUACUUGUACCAACUGGAUUAGCAGCGAACGGGUGAGUAACGCGUGGGUAAUCUGCCUUUGAGCGGGGGACAACAUUUGGAAACGAAUGCUAAUACCGCAUAAAAACUUUAAACACAAGUUUUAAGUUUGAAAGAUGCUAUUGCAUCACCCAAAGAUGAUCCCGCGUUGUAUUAGCUAGUUUGUUAGGUAAAGGCUCACCAAGGCGAUGAUACAUAGCCGACCUUAGAGGGUGAUCGGCCACAUUGGGACUGAGACAAGGCCCCAACUCCUACGGGAGGCAGCAGUAGGGAAUCUUCGGCAAUGGACGAAAGUCUGAACGAGCAACGCCGGGUGAGUGAAGAAGGUUUUCGGAUCGUAAAACUCUGUUGGUAGAGAAGAAAGUUGGUGAGAGUGGAAAGCUCAUCAAGUGACGGUAACUACCCAGAAAGGGACGGCUAACUACGUG